AAGCGUUGUCCGGAAUCAUUGGGCGUAAAGAGCGUGUAGGCGGCUCGGUAAGUCCGCUGUAAAAGUCCAGGGCUCAACCCUGGAAAGCCGGUGGAAACUGUCGAGCUAGAGUCCGGAAGAGGCGAGUGGAAUUCCUGGUGUAGCGGUGAAAUGCGCAGAUAUCAGGAGGAACACCAAUGGCGAAGGCAGCUCGCUGGGACGGUACUGACGCUGAGACGCGAAAGCGUGGGGAGCAAACAGG
rnacentral:rRNA from 1 species